UUACGGGAGGCAGCAGUGAGGAAUCUUGCGCAAUGGGGGAAACCCUGACGCAGCAACGCCGCGUGAGUGAGGAAGGUCUUCGGAUCGUAAAGCUCUGUCAGAUGGAAAGAACCGCACAGGGAUAAACAGUCCCUGUGUCUGACGGUACCAUCAGAGGAAGCACCGGCUAACUCCGUGCCAGCAGCCGCGGUAAUACGGGGGGUGCAAGCGUUGUUCGGAAUUAUUGGGCGUAAAGAGCGUGUAGGCGGCCGGAUGUGUCAGAUGUGAAAGCCCUGGGCUCAACCCAGGAAGUGCAUUUGAAACUAUCCGGCUUGAGUAGGGGAGAGGGAAGUGGAAUUCCUGGUGUAGAGGUGAAAUUCGUAGAUAUCAGGAGGAACACCGGUGGCGAAGGCGACUUCCUGGCCCUAUACUGACGCUGAGACGCGAGAGCGUGGGUAGCAAACAGGAUUAGAUACCCUGGU
rnacentral:rRNA from 1 species